ensembl:lncRNA
CCCAUGGGAUAUAUCUACAGUAUAUAACAUUUUUAAUGGGGUUUCUACUUUCAGACCCGCAUGAUAAAAGUAAUGGAAAAUCCGGACAAUGACAUUCACUUGGACAAUUCUGGUAGGACCUCCUCUCUCAAAACUUAGUAUAACGAAUUUUCGCUGAACAUUUUUUCUCUUUUAAGAAGUCAAAUGCGGUCUGAAAUCCAUGUUGUGUUUUCAUCAUGUUUGAUGCUCAAAGAGGUCCAGGUGAACUGCCAGGAGAAGAUGGAGGUGUGUGAGGAGAGCACAGAGAACUCUCAGAUGGACACUUUGGGAAAGAGGACAUCUGACCUGGAAGUGGUCAUUAAGAGGACCCGGAGCGGACGCGUCACCAGGUCCACCCUGGAGAGAAAGGCUGAGACUGAGGUGCACAGUGUCAAGAAGAAGAAGCCCUCUCCCAUCGAAGACAAAAUGGUGGGAGACACGCCCCCUCGAGCAUCAUAGAUUUCAGCCCCCAGUCUUACUCAAGGAAGGAGAGAUAAUAAUUUGCAAAUUGUCUUUUAAAGAUAAAACCUACAUGUUUUUUUAACAAGUCAAUAUGACUCAUUCAGUCCAUCCCAUCUAGGUGUAUACAGAAUAUUGUUUGGCAAUCAUUCAUUUUAGAGUCUUGCAUUAGUUUGUAAACUGUCUGUCACUCUCUGAUUAGCAGAUAUCGCAGUUCGAGUUCCCCUGCAGUCAGGAUGUCCAGGCCUCUGUGCCGAAGAAACGUAAGUUCAGCGAACCCAAGGAACGCUACUGACCUCCCCACCUUACCUAUAAGAUACCUGUCAAGACAAGAACCGAUGUUCUAAUUUGAAUGGCCUCUAGGCCUUUUUAGUUAUUUUAAAGGAAAAGCUGUAGUGCCCACCGCCAACACCACAAUAGUACCUCUGCAUUCUGUUGUUACAAUGGGAAGGAUACAGGAAAUGGUUCUUUCUAGUCCACCUUGUUUAUGUUUAUACUUUUGUUUCCAUUGUUGAGUUACAUGCUAGUGUGUGAUAUGGAGACUGGGAAAAAUUUAUUUUCUACAAUUGUAUAUUAGGGUCUGUGAAGUGCAAAACUCACAGUUUUAUUUAUUUCAAAGGAUGACAUUUUCAUUGUGAGAAUUACUUAUUUUUGUCUUUUGAUUACCAUGAACGUUAUACUGUGCAAAAUUGUGUUUAUAUUUUAUAUUGUUAUAUAAAGUAUCAAUAUACAGUACCCUCCAGUUGUAAGUUAUUUGAUUAAAUGUAUGUUUCUAAUAAAUUAAAGUGCCUUUUCUCAGUUUUGAAAAAGGGUUCUUAUUUCGGUCUGUAUGGUUAAGAGCAGAUAGUUCUACACGCUAGUGCUGAACCUCAGAUACAACUGCUUCCAUCAGCAGCAAACCUGGGUGCACCUGUUUUAGUGUCAUGGUUGGAAAAAGGAAACGCAAGUUUUUGCUACAAUUCAAGAUCAAAGAGCUUCAGCUUCCUGUCUGCAAGACCUGAUGCUAUUAGCAUGAGUGCAGAAAAAUCUAUACAAUACUGUAUCAUCUUCUUGUUAAAUAAUAGCCAACCUUUAACAAAGGGACUGCCAAAUGGCGGCAUUAGCAUGAGGUGUGACUUAAAUUAAGCUGUUAAGUGAAAGUGGAUUAUAUCUGUACACUGACCUUUGGGCUGAGAUAACCGGCCAUCAGCAGCCUCCUGCCUGGCUGCUGUGUGCUUUUAAUCAGCUGUUGUUUUUCCCAGAGAGAGGGACAUUUGCUGAUAGACUACCUUAACCCACUGCAGAUCAAUACUGCAGGAAGCCUUUGUGAUGCAUAUCCAAACAGGCCCUCUCUCUUCUCUCCACCACACCGGCUGGCGGGAGAGGGAGAGUCCAUCAAAUCAGUUCCUACAUCCAAACGGGGCUUGUCUUCGGCACUGGAGAAUAACCUCAUUUCAUUGUCUCUUGUUUUUUUAUAGGCACUGGAGAUAACAUUCAAGUGGAAAGUGGAAUGGACUGAAAAAUCUAGUGCAAUGCCCUCUGCGCCUUUGACAAUACCCACUCAGCAGCGAAUUGACAAUCUUUAUGAGCUGUGAAAAGCAUUUUUCAGCCAUUUUUAUUAUAUCGACAGCCCACGGUCAUAAAAAGACAGUAAGAAAGUCUCUCUCUAGUCAUGUUAUACUAUAUUGUAGUUACAGUACCUGUGUAUCCAGGUUGAUUAUUCUAACCAAUACUUAAUCUAAUAGUACACAUUGAACAGGUGGCUUUUAAAAUUUAAGAUCUAAUCUAACUCCUAUAGCUUUGUAACAGUGGAGGCUGGUGAAGGGAGGAUGGCUCAUAGUAAUGGCUGGAAUGGAGUGAACACAUGGAAACGUGUUUCAUUCCAGCCACUCCAUUCCAGCCAUUACUAUCCCCUCACCAGCCUCCACUGCUUAGUAAUUAUUUGGCAACUGGCUACUUGACGACAUCGAUGGGAUUUAAAAUGCAGCUACAGUUUUAACAUGUGGAGUUUCUAGUAAGGUGUAUUUGUUCUUGUACACAUUAGUGUCUAAAAGCUGAAUUGCAGUGUAUAUCAGGUGUGUAAUACAUCAGAGAAAAUACAGUAUGGCUGAAGCUCUUCUAGCCUACUCCAAUGAGGUAAAGUGCACAAAUGAAUCAAAAACGACAUGCCAACAUCAGCAGACAACAUCUGAAAUGCAAUGCUACUUACCUCCACCCCCUAUCCUUCAAACAUUAUGCCUGUACUACACACGUCUCAAGAAAUGAAUUCUGAAAUUAAAUUCAGGGACACACGUCGAAUGGCAAGUGUUAACAAAUCAAUCAGCUGGUCAAACAUGAGGCUGGUUUCAGAGGCCGUAUCUCCCCCUAUGUGGAGCCAAGGCCCGGGUCUCUGAGUCAAUAUGAGCCGGCCGAGGCGGUUCGUGUGAUGAGGAGGGAAUCCCUGUCAGACAAACAGACAGAGGGACUGAUAGACGGAUGGACUGGCCCAUCCCUGAGCCUUAGAUUAGAAAGACUCUCAGGCUGCAUGUAGGGGGUGCUGUGAUUAUGCCUGCAGGGCCUGUGGGCUCCAGAGGCGGUUAGGGUUUAGAGGCAAGCGGGGGAGAGGACUGGACAUUCAGCCAGGGUCUGUGACCCCUUUGACCUUGCCAGAAGGGCAGCAAAUGUUUCCUAGCUGAUUAGCGGUUCUUCAGCAGAGCAUCGUGGCUGAUGUUAACCCUUUGCUGUAAGGUAAAAGGAACUGGGGGAGUCUCCUCGGAAUAUAGACGACAUGGUAUCUGAGCAUGACUAUGAACAAUAACAACAAUUUGAGGGAAAGCCUGAUAUAUAUUGAUUAAAGUCUGCAAAAAUAAACAAUAGGGGAGCUGUGAACUAAAUUAGAGGAAAACACACUGAAUACCUCUGAACUAGUAUAAAUUAUAUGUAUUACACUAGUAUAUAAAAAACAUACUAUACCGUAAUUUGCAAUUUGGUAGUUUUGAAAACGACCACAAGGGGGCGAUAGGUUGCUGCAGAAUGUGAUGAGACUCAGGCCUAGAUGAUAAAGGAUGCAGUAUCUGUAGACCUCUGUGACUAUUGACAAAUACUUCCAUGUACUUGCACCAAUAAACAUGUUUCUUUCUUUCUCUACUGUAUUCACUUCCAACUGCACUACAUUUCAAUCACAAAUAGAACUCUAAAAUGAUUUGCUUUGUGGUACCAUAGAAAGCACUGUAUGCAGAGUGAUAGUCUACUCCUAUUUGAUUUGCAUAAAAUAAGUUAAAUAAGAUUCCAUGUGAGCAGGUGUUUUCAGGGAGAACAGAUUCUGAGAUUGAGUAUGUGUAUAUAGUCAGUGUUGAGCAGUAGUGUUACCUACUUGAAACAGAUGCUCAAAGCAAUGGGAUGUGCUUCCAUUGUGAUCCGAGUAGACAGCUGAAUUGUUUACCAAAGGCCCUUUCUUCAGUUCAGGACACUUACAAUGGCUGAGUUCUGACACUGAGGAUUUCUGAGGGAGUGGGAGGGAGGAGGAGGGCAGAUUGAAGGGAGAGCUUCUGCCUUGUACCCCUUUUCUCUGUGCUCAGAUGGACCUCACCCUCCCCCAAAGCCACCGGAGGGCAGGGGUUUAAAUGUCACGCUUGGUCAUCAGAGCGCCCGGCCAGGCUCGUGUCUCUGGGGGGAACACGCCAGGAGAGAAAGGGGAGGGAGGGAGAGACACUUGCCCUCACCAUUGUCCAUUACGAUAGGCAUGAGCUGCUAACUAACUCAAAAUCAAGUGUAUCCUCUCGCCACGUGAACUGCCUGUCCAACUUGGUCAAACACAAUGCUUUAAGCCUUAUGAAAAAGCAGUCUUGGUCAUGGUACGUUUGGCUGAAAAGCUUUAAGGAAAUCGGAUGUAUAUUUGGUCAGCAGGUGCAUGAAAAAUGCUCUAUGUGUCACCUGGAGCCUUUGAGAUCUCUCUGCACAUUGCACUCUAGCAUGUCCUUAAACGGGACAAAAAUCUAUGCAAACUUUUCCGUUGAAUUACAUUCAACCCGACUUGGAAAUGUAAAAGACUAACUUAUGAGACCAACUUCAACUUGAAAUACAAGCAAUGGACAAAAUAUAUGAGUGGCUGGUGACUUCACCCUGGCCAAGGUCUGAGGCCACUCUUUACCCACUCACAAGAUUGAGUGUUUCAUGUAUCUAUUUGUUCUAAAUAGUGGCACACUUGACCUUGGGCGAGAUGUGUGUGCUUCUAACAUAGCCGAGAAUCAUCCCUCUGUCAGGAUCAAGGGAAUGACCUUGAACUGCAAGCACAGGCGUAGCUGAGUGCACAAACUCAUUUAACUCCUGGGUUUGCUAUCGACAUGCUGUAAUCGUUAACAUUGCGGAUGAUGAAUAACUACUGACUGCCGUACCUACAGUACCCAAGGCUAGGCAGGGGAACGCAUGCUGAUGGUCAGAUGACUUGGGCGACAUCCCUUAUACCAGUUUUAUAGAGCCACGACAACAGGGCCAGCACAGAUCUAACACACAGUAAGGCCCUUGAAGGUGUAGGCUAUGUCUUCUUUUUUGCAUAACAGUAGAAAACUGGACCUACAGUGCAUCCCACAUGAAAAUAAACUAUAGUGUAUGCUACAGUAGGAAUGUUUUUGCUGACCUUUUUAGUAUUUAUUGUAGUAUACUGUAGUAUUUACAGUUUACUAUAGUAUAAACACUAUAGUGAAAAAUAAUAAUAGUAUAUACUAUAUUAUAAACUGGGUGGUUCGAGCACUGAAUGCUGAUUGGCUGACAGCUGUGGUAUAUCAGACCUUAUACCACAGGUAUGACAAAACAGUUAUUUUUACUGCUCUAAUUACAUUGGUAAAGAGUUUAUACUAGCAAUAAGGCACCUC